AGCAAUUGUUUAUUAUUGAUGAGUUUGAACAUCCCUUUCACACGUCUUAAAGACUUUGCUAUUUGUCAUUGUGUGUGUGCGUGUGCGUGUGCAGGUCUUAGAGCAGCACUCUGACGGCCGAUGGAAAGGCUGUAUUCAUGACAACCGCACAGGGAAUGACCGUGUGGGCUACUUCCCUUCCAACAUGGUUGAAGUCAUCAAGAGGGCAGGCUCGAGGACGGCAGAGCUCAGUCCUCAAGGUUCUCCCACUCUGGGUCAGCAGAGCAGCACCAGUGAGGACAUCUGGGUGCUGCGCAAACCUCUGGCAGGUGGGGAGCGCAGCGGCAGCGUGGGGAGCCUGGGCAGUGGCCGCUCAUCCAGCAGCUUACAGAGUUCUGGAAACACACACGUCCUGACCACACCUGCUCCCAGUCCCCACCCAGCACCAAUCCCAGGAGUCAACACUCACGGACUGAAUGCUCCAGGUCUGCACGCCCAAGCAGAGGGAGUCAAGCUCCUGGCCACUGUGCUGUCUCAGUCUGUAAAAGCCAAGGAGCAUCUCUUGGAGCAGUCGCAGUCUGUUGAGCAGGCAGCAAGCUCUUCGAGUGGCACCGCACAUGAACAACGAUCGUUUGAGAGGAAGGUGGAAGAGGACGAUGGGAGAGUGAGUCUUCAGAUGACUAACUAGUUCACUUGAUGUGCCUCAGUUUUCUCACAACCAGAGCCAUGGUUGUAAAGAACGUCUACAAUGGUGCUAAUGGAGACACUGUAGACGCAGCUGAGAUUUUGCUCAUGUGGUCGUGUUGCACCUGAACAGAUGACACACUGAGCAUACGAGUGUGUCCCCAUGGAGACGAGACAAAUAACAGACCGGAAGAGUCUGUUGCUUUCUCAGCCUCUGUCCCUCCAUUCCCUCCCCCUCCACACUCACUCACUCACACACAUGCUGCUGCUGAAUGCUCUGUGGCGUUCAGGGGCGGAUUCACAAAAGGUUUAGUGGCAUUAAAACAUUGCAAACAUAGCACUCCACACACUAAUAAGGAGUACAAAGCCCAGGGAAACAGGACUGCCCGUCUUCAGCACGUCAGAAUGCGUCCUCAU
rnacentral:lncRNA from 1 species